rnacentral:rRNA from 1 species
UACGUAGGGACCAAGCGUUGUUCGGAUUUACUGGGCGUAAAGGGCGCGUAGGCGGCGUGGUAAGUCACUUGUGAAAUCUCCGAGCUUAACUCGGAACGGUCAAGUGAUACUGCUGUGCUAGAGUACAGAAGGGGCAAUCGGAAUUCUUGGUGUAGCGGUGGAAUGCGCAGAUAUCAGGAGGAACACCGGUGGCGAAGGCGGGUCUCUGGGCAGUAACUGACGCUGAGGAGCGAAAGCGUGGGGAGCGAACAGG